CCACCCCUUUGUGGCAGCCUCAGGGGUGAGAAAUCAGGACCCACCCAGUGUGAGGAAUAACUGGCGCUCUCAGCAAGGCAGAAAGAAACAGGACUGCAACAUGACUAAAGGAUUCUCACAUACUGUGGCGAUGACUGUGCAGAGACUAGGGAAGGAGAAGCCGUAGGAGCCGAUGCAUGUGACAUUUGGUACCAAAGAUCCGAGUCAGAGGGACUCCUUCAGGAGAGCAGUCCCCUGUCCUCACCCUCACUCUGUGAAGAGAUUCACCUACGACCACGGGUCCUCGGACCAACCAGCCCAAGGAACAUCUCACCAACUUCAAAUCGGAUGUUCUUGGCUUAGCAGCUGAAGACUGACGCUGCCUG